GAUUAUGGCUCAGAUUGAACGCUGGCGGCAUGCCUUACACAUGCAAGUCGAACGGUAACAGGUUAAGUUGACGAGUGGCGAACGGGUGAGUAACACAUCGGAACGUGCCCAAUCGUGGGGGAUAACGUAGCGAAAGCUACGCUAAUACCGCAUACGAUCUAUGGAUGAAAGCGGGGGAUCGCAAGACCUCGCGCGAAUGGAGCGGCCGAUGGCAGAUUAGGUAGUUGGUGAGGUAAAGGCUCACCAAGCCGACGAUCUGUAGCUGGUCUGAGAGGACGACCAGCCACAUUGGGACUGAGACACGGCCCAGACUCCUACGGGAGGCAGCAGUGGGGAAUAUUGGGCAAUGGGCGAAAGCCUGACCCAGCAACGCCGCGUGAAGGAAGAAGGUUUUCGGAUCGUAAACUUCUGUCCUAUGAGAAGAUAAUGACGGUAUCAUAGGAGGAAGCCCCGGCUAACUACGUGCCAGCCGCCGC
rnacentral:rRNA from 1 species